GAUUCGAGUCGUCUUACUCUAAAUUUUGAGCCCUACAGCAAUAAUAUCUAAUAUUAUGUAAUAUAAAGUUUGAUCCAAUCUAUCUCAAUUGGCUCUUUUUCAAGAAAAAAGAUCUGGUGGGAUCUUUUUUUUUCUCUAUGGAAUUUAGACAGGGCUACUCUAAUGAAUACUUUGAAAUAAGUUGUAUUCUUGUAAAUCAUAUAGAAUUGUAUAGAAUUAUCACAAAACAGACUUAACAUU
rnacentral:lncRNA from 1 species